UACGUAGGUGGCAAGCGUUGUCCGGAAUUAUUGGGCGUAAAGCGCGCGCAGGCGGCCUUUUAAGUCUGAUGUGAAAUCUUGCGGCUCAACCGCAAGCGGCCAUUGGAAACUGGGAGGCUUGAGUACAGAAGAGGAGAGUGGAAUUCCACGUGUAGCGGUGAAAUGCGUAGAUAUGUGGAGGAACACCAGUGGCGAAGGCGACUCUCUGGUCUGUAACUGACGCUGAGGCGCGAAAGCGUGGGGAGCAAAC
rnacentral:rRNA from 1 species